rnacentral:lncRNA from 1 species
AUGUCUGCCUUCCAGCAAGAUCAUACUGCAAUCGAGAGCAUGUCUGCCUUCCAGCAAGAUCAUAUUGCAAUCCAGAGCAUGUCUGCAUUCCAGCAGGAUCGUAUUGCAAUCGAGAGCAUGUCUGCCUUCCAGCAAGAUCAUACUGCAAUCGAGAGCAUCAUGUCUGCCUUCCAGCAAGAUCAUACUGCAAUCAAGAGCAUGUCUGCAUUCCAGCAGGAUCAUACUGCAAUUGAGAGCAUGUCUGCCUUCCAGCAGGAUCAUACUGCAAUCGAGAGCAUGUCUGCCUUCCACCAGGAUCAUACUGCAAUCGAGAGCAUGUCUGCAUUCCAGCAGGAUUGUACUGCAAUCAAGAGCAUGUCUGCCUUCCAGCAGGAUCAUACUGCAAUUGAGAGCAUGUCUGCCUUCCAGCAGGAUCAUACUGCAAUCGAGAGCAUGUCUGCCUUCCACCAGGAUCAUACUGCAAUUGAGAGCAUGUCUGCCUUCCAGCAGGAUCAUACUGCAAUCGAGAGCAUGUCUGCCUUCCACCAGGAUCAUACUGCAAUCGAGAGCAUGUCUGCAUUCCAGCAGGAUUGUACUGCAAUCAAGAGCAUGUCUGCAUUCCAGCAGGAUCAUGUCUUUGGAUGUGAUUCCUUGCCAGAGCAGCCAUGUUGCUGGAUUAAAAUUCCUCUACAAUCU